rnacentral:rRNA from 1 species
AUUGAACGCUGGCGGCAGGCUUAACACAUGCAAGUCGAACGGUAACAGGGUGCUUGCACCGCUGACGAGUGGCGAACGGGUGAGUAAUGCGUCGGAACGUGCCGAGUAGUGGGGGAUAACGCAGCGAAAGUUGUGCUAAUACCGCAUACGUACUGAGGUAGAAAGUGGGGGACCUUCGGGCCUCAUGCUAUAGGAGCGGCCGAUGUCUGAUUAGCUAGUUGGUGGGGUAAAGGCCUACCAAGGCGACGAUCAGUAGCUGGUCUGAGAGGACGAUCAGCCACACUGGGACUGAGACACGGCCCAGACUCCUACGGGAGGCAGCAGUGGGGAAUUUUGGACAAUGGGCGAAAGCCUGAUCCAGCAAUGCCGCGUGUGUGAAGAAGGCCUUCGGGUUGUAAAGCACUUUUGUCCGGAAAGAAAUGGCUCUGGUUAAUACCUGGGGUCGAUGACGGUACCGGAAGAAUAAGGACCGGCUAACUACGUGCCAGCCGCCGCGGUAA